UGCCUUUAGGUUGCUAAGAUACUUUCUUCGUUUCUGGCGGUGUCACCAGGGAGAGGACAAGAAUCCAAACUGAGCUGGAGCGCAUUUGAUCAGAGCCGGCUGUGAUUUUUUGCGGCUGCCUGGAUUACUGGGACUGAGGUUCACCAGACAGACAGAUGCUAGUCAGUGCGCAUUCACAGAGCUCCUGAAGCAGAAAUAGGGCCUGAACCAGACCCAGAAAUUCAGGGAUCGAUCUGAUUCUGUGGUGCCUGCAGGAGCCAUUGUUACUACAUUUCUGUCAACCCCCAAGGAAGCAUGAACUUGUACAUUUGGUUCUGUGACCCGACGAAGAGUAUCUCCUGAGGAUAGCGGGAUCCUACAGUGUUCAAGCUAGGGUACAGAAGACAUGCCCAACAAAAACUUCCUGAAUCAAUGAAGUGAGAGGUGAUAUCAGAAGACAAGCCCAAAGUGAGAUGGUUGUUUACUUGAUUGACGGCUGUCUUCCUCGUGGAUCAUGAACUCUGUGAAAGCGGGAAUCAGAGCUGUUUUGCAGCAUGCCCAACAUCUAGGGGAGUACCGGGAAGCAGGAGGCAUUCAGUAAAUACUGAUGGAGUCAAUGUAUUAUACAUUAUAUUAUCUUAUAUAUAUAUUAUGCAAUAUAUAAUGUAUAUGUUCUAUGGAGUAAAUAUUAUGG
rnacentral:lncRNA from 1 species